rnacentral:rRNA from 1 species
GAUGAACGCUGGCGGCGUGCCUAAUACAUGCAAGUCGAGCGAACAGACGAGGAGCUUGCUCCUCUGACGUUAGCGGCGGACGGGUGAGUAACACGUGGAUAACCUACCUAUAAGACUGGGAUAACUUCGGGAAACCGGAGCUAAUACCGGAUAAUAUAUUGAACCGCAUGGUUCAAUAGUGAAAGACGGUUUUGCUGUCACUUAUAGAUGGAUCCGCGCCGCAUUAGCUAGUUGGUAAGGUAACGGCUUACCAAGGCGACGAUGCGUAGCCGACCUGAGAGGGUGCUCAGCCACCCUGGAACUGAGACACGGUCCAGACUCCGACGGGAGGCAGCAGUAGGGAAUCUUCCGCAAUGGGCGAAAGCCUGACGGAGCAACGCCGCGUGAGUGAUGAAGGUCUUCGGAUCGUAAAACUAUGUUAUUAGGGAAGAACAAAUGUGUAAGUAACUAUGCACGUCUUGACGGUACCUAAUCAGAAAGCCACGGCUAAAUACGU